AGGCUGGGUAUCUUGUGGAAGACUAGUGAUUUUGUUGUUCUUUAUUCGAGUAACAAGGAAUCACUAAUCAUCCCAAGAUGGUGGCUG
rnacentral:pre_miRNA from 16 species